UAAAAAUGACUUAGCGACAGUCGUUAUGAAUGUGUGUUUACAUAUGAAACGAAAGUGGAAAUUAAUUUUAACCAAUUCAAGUGGACAAUUGUUUUUUAAAGUUUAAAGAUCUACUGUACGUUUUCAUUUGCUUCAAGUCCAGUGGCUUUAAUACACGUUUAGUAAAGAUCCUUGUCCAGUCAAUGUGAUCCUUGUCCAGUCAAGUUAUCAUAGGUAAAUGUACAUUACAUAAGAACUAAAUGGGAUCAUUUACUUUUGAAAUUUGUUUCAAACGUAAAAUGUGAGAUAUAUGUCAAUGAGACAGCAACCCAACAAAGCAAGUAUGGUGAUGUAUACAGGUCAAUAUAUAGUCAACAAAUCAAAAAUAA